UUAGCGGCGGACGGGUGAGUAACACGUGGAUAACCUACCUAUAAGACUGGGAUAACUUCGGGAAACCGGAGCUAAUACCGGAUAAUAUUUUGAACCGCAUGGUUCAAAAGUGAAAGACGGUCUUGCUGUCACUUAUAGAUGGAUCCGCGCUGCAUUAGCUAGUUGGUAAGGUAACGGCUUACCAAGGCAACGAUGCAUAGCCGACCUGAGAGGGUGAUCGGCCACACUGGAACUGAGACACGGUCCAGACUCCUACGGGAGGCAGCAGUAGGGAAUCUUCCGCAAUGGGCGAAAGCCUGACGGAGCAACGCCGCGUGAGUGAUGAAGGUCUUCGGA
rnacentral:rRNA from 1 species